GAUGAACGCUAGCGGGAGGCCUAACACAUGCAAGCCGAGCGGUAUUGUUUCUUCGGCAAUGAGAGAGCGGCGUACGGGUGCGUAACACGUGUGCAACCUGCCUUUAUCUGGGGGAUAGCCUUUCGAAAGGAAGAUUAAUACUCCAUAAUAUAUUGAACGGCAUCGUUUAAUAUUUAAAGCUCCGGCGGAUAGAGAUGGGCACGCGCAAGAUUAGCUAGUUGGUGAGGUAACGGCUCACCAAGGCGAUGAUCUUUAGGGGGCCUGAGAGGGUGAUCCCCCACACUGGUACUGAGACACGGACCAGACUCCUACGGGAGGCAGCAGUGAGGAAUAUUGGUCAAUGGGUGCAAGCCUGAACCAGCCAUCCCGCGUGAAGGACGACUGCCCUAUGGGUUGUAAACUUCUUUUGUAUAGGGAUAAACCUACCCUCGAGAGGGUAGCUGAAGGUACUAUACGAAUAAGCACCGGCUAACUCCGUG
rnacentral:rRNA from 1 species